UCAAAUUUAUCAUAGAGGACAAAUAACCAAUGUUCUAAACACUGCAGAUUAUAAUGCUGUAUUUUGGUUUGGGGUCCUGCAACCCCAAAGUAAAUGUAUGAGACAUUAUUUUUCUCCCAAAAGGCAGUAAAAGCCAGUUUUUCUCUCACCCAUGUUACUCAUUAAGCACUUCAGUGUUUACUGAAGAAUCUUGGAAAAAAUUUACUUCUGACUGGCACAAAAUGAGGUUUUUUUAAAUCCCCCAUCUGCAGUUAGAAUCCACUUCAAGAAAUGCAUUAGUUGGCUUCCUAUUUCCCAAGGGACUUGAAAGCAAACUUGCUGUACGUUGAUACACUACAACCAUUGGUUCUCAGGUAUGCCCAGGUACUCAGCCUGUCUCCCUGAGGUUGUUAGCUUCGCUAGUUGAGAGAAUUUUAAUCUCCAAGAUCGACCUCUUUCAGAAACAAAGGGGGAGGGGAGUAAAGAAAGAAAAAGUACACACCUGCAACCUAUUUCUUUUUGAAGCAAAGCCUUUGAGCAGAUGGGAGAUGAGAUAGAGAAAGAAAACAGGCCAAUUGCCAAGAGAGGUUUGUUUACAAUACAGGCAAGUUCCUUCAGAAGCUGAUAGGAAGCUGUUGCCAUGGAGAUGAGGAGAACUAUUGCUGCAGGGUUUCACAGAACAAAUUCCUACUAUAAAUGUACCUGGACUUGCGGAGAACUCAGAGGGCUUCCAUAGCCUUGGAAACUCAUGACUGGAGCAUAGGGAGAUUACUGAUGCCAUAGACAGGAGUGUCAAUUGGUAAAGUCAACAACAGGAGUCACUGUGCACUUACUCCUCAUGUAGGAUCUCUAUCCUUAAUGUGCUGUACAUUGAGAUUUAAUGCUAUAACGAGUACUCAAACAGUAUAUUUCACUUUGUGUUUCUAUGGGGGUGCAAACUGUUGAAAUCCUUACUUAAUGCAUACUAAACUGAUCCUCUGUAAAAAAAAAAAAAAAAAAAGAAAAAAAAAAAAGAAAUUAUCAAUUCCCAACUUGACUCUCACUGGGAUUAAACAUGACAAUAGGUCUGCUCUGAUUUCAUCAUCAUUUAAAAAAAAAAGAAAUUAUCAAUUCCCAACUUGACUCUCACUGGGAUUAAACAUGACAUAGGUCUGCUCUGAUUUCAUCAUCAUUUAAAAAAAAUCACCUAUUAUUUUUCACUUUAUGUUUCUGUGUGGGAGCAAACUGUUGAAAUCCUUACUUAAUGUAUACUAAGCUGAUCUUCUGUAUAUUAAGAUAAUCAAAAAUGAAUCUUGAUGUGAAUGGAAGGGAGAGGAGUGGGUAAGGGGAGGUUGUGGGUGGGAGGGACGGUAUGGGGGGGAAGCAUUGUAAUCCAUAAGUCGUACUUUGGAAAUUUAUAUCAUAAAUAAAGUUUAAAAAAAAAAAGAAUAGGGAAUACUU
rnacentral:lncRNA from 1 species